rnacentral:tRNA from 1 species
GCCCCGGUAGCUCAGGGCUUCCUCUUUCUUCUGGAGUGGCGGGUAACCGGUAGAGCGGCGGCCUCGUAAGCCGCAGGCCGCGGGUUCGAGACCCGCCCGGGGCUCCA